GAUGAACGCUGUCGGCGUUCCUAAUACAUGCAAGUCUAGCGACCAGACUAGGAGCUUGCUCCUCUGACUUUAGCGGCGGACAGUUGCGUAACACUUGGAUAACCUACCUAUAAGACUGGGAUAACUUCGGGAAACCGGCGCUAAUACCGGAUAAUAUAUUGAACCGCAUGGUUCAUUAGUGAACGACGGUUUUGCUGUCACUUAUAGAUGGAUCCGCGCCGCAUUAGCUAGUUGGUAAGGUAACGGCUUACCAAGGCAACGAUGCGUAGCCGACCUGAGAGGGUGAUCGGCCACACUUGAACUGAGACACGGUCCAGACUGCGACGGGAGGCAGCAGUAGGGAAUCUUCCGCAAAGGGCGAAAGCCUGACGGAGCAACGCCGCGUGAGUGAUGAAGGUCUUCGGAUCGUAAAACUCUGUUAUUAGGGAAGAACAAAUGUGUAAGUAACUAUGCACGUCUUGACGGUACCUAAGCAGAAAGCCACGGCUAAAUACGUG
rnacentral:rRNA from 1 species